GACGUAGGGCGCGAGCGUUGUCCGGAUUUAUUGGGCGUAAAGAGCUCGUAGGCGGCUUGUCGCGUCGUUCGUGAAAACCCACAGCUCAACUGUGGGCUUGCGGUCGAUACGGGCAGGCUGGAGUUCGGUAGGGGAGACUGGAAUUCCUGGUGUAGCGGUGAAAUGCGCAGAUAUCAGGAGGAACACCGGUGGCGAAGGCGGGUCUCUGGGCCGAUACUGACGCUGAGGAGCGAUAGCGUGGGGAGCGAACAGG
rnacentral:rRNA from 1 species